AGCAUUUGAGGAUAGAAAUGGCAGCUAUCACCCAUUGUUAGGAGAUACAGGAAGGUCAACCUGUCUUAUGCU
rnacentral:ncRNA from 1 species